UACGGAGGGUGCAAGCGUUGUCCGGAAUCACUGGGCGUAAAGGGCGCGUAGGCGGCUCGGUAAGUAGGGGGGUGAAAUCCUGCGGCUUAACCGCAGGGGCUGCCUUCUAAACUGUCGAGCUCGAGCACGGUAGAGGCAGAUGGAAUUCCCGGUGUAGCGGUGGAAUGCGUAGAGAUCGGGAAGAACAUCAGUGGCGAAGGCGGGUCUCUGGGCCGUAACUGACGCUGAGGAGCGAAAGCAUGGGGAGCGAACAGG
rnacentral:rRNA from 1 species